rnacentral:pre_miRNA from 3 species
GUGCCCAAGCCUUCUGCCCUGCUCCCCCUCUCUAAUCCUUGCUAUCUGGGUGCUAGUGCUGUCUCAAUGCAAUGCACCUGGGCAAGGAUUCAGAGAGGGGGAGCUCAACUGU